GAGGGCCCCGCACAAGCAGCGGAGCGUGUGGUUUAAUUCGAUGUUACACGAAGAACCUUACCUGGGUUUGACAUGCUAGUGGUAAUGAAGCGAAAGCUAAGUGACCCGCAAGGGAGCUAGCACAGGUGCUGCAUGGCUGUCGUCAGCUCGUGUCGUGAGAUGUUCGGUUAAGUCCGCUAACGAGCGCAACCCUCGCUGUGUGUUACAAGUGUCACACAGGACCGCCGGUCUUAAGCCGGAGGAAGGUGGGGAUGAUGUCAAGUCAGCAUGGCCUUUAUAUCCUGGGCUACACACACGCUACAAUGGCCAACACAAUAGGUUGCUAAGCCGCGAGGUGGCGCCAAUCCAUAAAGUUGGUCUCAGUUCAGAUUGUAGGCUGCAACCCGCCUGCAUGAAGAUGGAGUUGCUAGUAACCGCAGGUCAGCUAUACUGCGGUGAAUACGUUCCCGGGGCUU
rnacentral:rRNA from 1 species